UCUUAUGGAUGGGUGAAGAAAGUGGUUUCUUGAGGUAGAAUCUACUCCUGGUAAAGAUGCUUUGAGGA
rnacentral:pre_miRNA from 1 species